AGCUUUUGUGUGUUGAUAAAGAUGGUGUGACUAUCAUUACGAUGACGACGAUGCUGCUGAUGCUAAUAGUGAUGAUGAAGACGGGAGUGAUGAGGAGAGGAGCUACGCCAUGAUAACGUCAGGCUGCCGACAUACAUUAAUAUCUGGCCUCAUUUUACUCCUCCUGGGUCCAGAUUGUAUUUCCAGCCUAAAAUGCUACGAAUGUGACAAUGAGUUGACUAACAACUUUUGCAUGAGCGAUUUAAACCUGCACGAAUGUGGACCAGCGUUGGACACAUGCCAAACCAUCGUAGCUUAUUCAGACGUCAGUGAGAAGCUGUCCAUCAUAAAAACAUGUUCUGUGAAUGCUUCUUGUCACAUCCAAAAACAGGAGAAUAAGGACAUUCCCUGUGAUAAAAACCAAAACAAAUGGAUUUGCACCAGUUGCUGUCAUGAAGAUGGCUGUAAUAUCAGCGGGCAGCAGUUUGUACAGUCAUCGUUUUCUGUCCUACAGCUUCUUAUUGUGUCUUUAUUCGCUACCGUUGUCGUUGUUGGAUGAAGUGAAGUGAAUGUAGCCGUAGAGUAUUGCGUUACUUGUUGCCGGUUGAGAUGGUAUGAAACACACACACACACACACACGUAUAUAUGUAUUCGGAUGUAAAGAAAAUGAAAAACAUAG
rnacentral:misc_RNA from 1 species